rnacentral:rRNA from 1 species
GACGAACGCUGGCGGCGUGCUUAACACAUGCAAGUCGAACGGAAAGGCCCUGCUUUUGUGGGGUGCUCGAGUGGCGAACGGGUGAGUAACACGUGAGUAACCUGCCCUUGACUUUGGGAUAACUUCAGGAAACUUGGGCUAAUACCGGAUAGGAGCUCCUGCUGCAUGGUGGGGGUUGGAAAGUUUCGGCGGUUGGGGAUGGACUCGCGGCUUAUCAGCUUGUUGGUGGGGUAGUGGCUUACCAAGGCUUUGACGGGUAGCCGGCCUGAGAGGGUGACCGGCCACAUUGGGACUGAGAUACGGCCCAGACUCCUACGGGAGGCAGCAGUGGAGAAUAUUGCACAAUGGGAGGAAGCCUGAUGCAGCAACGCCGCGUGCGGGAUGACGGCCUUCGGGUUGUAAACCGCUUUCGCCUGUGACGAAGCGUGAGUGACGGUAAUGGGUAAAGAAGCACCGGCUAACUACGUG